rnacentral:misc_RNA from 1 species
AACGCACCUUGCGCCCUGUGGUAUUCCGCAGGGCAUGCCCGUUUGAGUAUCAUUAAAUCAUCAACCUCAAAACUUUUUUGUUUUUGAGUAAUUGGUCUUGAGGGUUUUUGCAGGCUUUUCAAAAGUCGGCUCCCUUUAAAUUUAUUAGCGAGACUUCCCUUUGUUUGAACCGGUCUCAUUGGCAUGAUAGUUAUCUGUGUCAAAGUUGGUUCUCGUUGGGCUUGCUUCUAAUCGUCUUUGGACAAACAGGACUUUUGAGUGCAUAUAUGCGCGCAAUUUCCAAGCCAUUUUGAUCUCAAAUCGGGUAGGAUUACCCGCUGAACUUAA